UCAGCCCCGCAAGAAUGCUGUCUACUACGUUUUUUAAAUCUAUCCUUGUCUUAUGAAUCCACAAAUUGAGCUGCUUUUCCACAGCACUUACAGAGGUUACUUCGGUCCUUGAUGGAACAGCCUCACGUACAUACUGGCUCACCAACAGAAGAGCGGAGAGCAACACCUCCCCCAGAUCCUUCCUCUCCCUCCACUUCCAUAUCAGUUCUGCAUAAUUUGGCCUCAGAAAAAAUAAGUUCCCAUCAAGGUAAUGAACUGAAGAUUUUCAAGAGAUUCUGGUAUACUUUCUUGGACCACUAUGAAUUGACAUAAGACUUACCCGUUUGUGUUGCCUUGCGAGUUUUUCUUUUGCUUCUUCCAGCUCUUUCUGGAUUUUCAGAACAUGUUUGUUCAUCUUACGAAUUGUGGAGUGCAAGAUUUCC